rnacentral:rRNA from 1 species
CCUACGGGAGGCAGCAGUGGGGAAUUUUGGACAAUGGGGGCAACCCUGAUCCAGCAAUGCCGCGUGAGUGAAGAAGGCCUUCGGGUUGUAAAGCUCUUUUGUCAGGGAAGAAACGGUCUACUCUAAUACAGUGGGCUAAUGACGGUACCUGAAGAAUAAGCACCGGCUAACUACGUGCCAGCAGCCGCGGUAAUACGUAGGGUGCAAGCGUUAAUCGGAAUUACUGGGCGUAAAGCGUGCGCAGGCGGUUAUAUAAGACAGAGGUGAAAUCCCCGGGCUCAACCUGGGAACUGCCUUUGUGACUGUAUGGCUAGAGUGUGUCAGAGGGGGGUAGAAUUCCACGUGUAGCAGUGAAAUGCGUAGAUAUGUGGAGGAAUACCGAUGGCGAAGGCAGCCCCCUGGGAUAACACUGACGCUCAUGCACGAAAGCGUGGGGAGCAAACAGGAUUAGAUACCCUGGUAGUCCACGCCCUAAACGAUGUCUACUAGUUGUCGGGACUUAAUUGUCUUGGUAACGCAGCUAACGCGUGAAGUAGACCGCCUGGGGGAGGUACGGUCGGUCGAGAAGUUAAACUUACGUAAGAAGUUAGAGCGNGNGACGNGCGACGGACGACGACGAGGGAGGAGG